CAGUCGCCGCGGUAAGACAGAGGAUGCAAGCGUUAAUCGGAAUUACUGGGCGUAAAGCGUGCGCAGGCGGUUAUAUAAGACAGAUGUGAAAUCCCCGGGCUCAACCUGGGAACUGCAUUUGUGACUGUAUAGCUAGAGUACGGCAGAGGGGGAUGGAAUUCCGCGUGUAGCAGUGAAAUGCGUAGAUAUGCGGAGGAACACCGAUGGCGAAGGCAAUCCCCUGGGCCUGUACUGACGCUCAUGCACGAAAGCGUGGGGAGCAAACAGGAUUAGAUACCCCCGUAGUCCCUGUCUCUUAUAC
rnacentral:rRNA from 1 species